AUUCAUUCGGCUUAAGAAUCGCUGCACCGAAAGACGUCUCUCUAUUCCUUCAGGCCUCACAGAUGAAAACAGCUCACCAAACGAUAAAGACAGAAUGCUGGCGCAAGCACCUGGUCCAGUGAAUGGCCAUUUCUGAAAAGCACAAGUGUUCUUCACUAAAUCGCCAAGAAUUCAAAAACGCGUUGAG